rnacentral:rRNA from 1 species
GAUGAACGCUGGCGGCGUGCCUAAUACAUGCAAGUCGAGCGAACGGACGAGAAGCUUGCUUCUCUGAUGUUAGCGGCGGACGGGUGAGUAACACGUGUAUAACCUACCUAUAUGACUGGGAUAACUUCGGGAAACCGGAGCUAAUACCGUAUAAUAUUUUGAACCGCAUGGUUCAAAAGUGAAAUACGGUCUUUCUGUCUCUUAUAGAUGGAUCCGCGCUGCAUUAGCUAGUUGGUAAGGUAACGGCUUAUCAAGGCAACGAUGCAUAGCCGACGUGAGAGGGGGAUAGGCCACACGGGAACUGAGACACGGUCCAGAGGACUAAGGGAGGCAGCAGUAGGGAAUGGUCCGCAAUGGGCGAAAGCCUGACGGAGCAGCGCCGCGUGAGUGAUGAAGGUCUUCGGAUCGUAAAACUCUGUUAUUAGGGAAGAACCUAUGUGUAAGUAACUGAGCACAUAUUGACGGUAACUAAUAAGAAAGCAACGGCUAACUACGUG